GACAGAGGGUGCAAGCGUUGUUCGGAAUCAUUGGGCGUAAAGGGCGCGUAGGCGGUCAAGUAAGUCACUGUGAAAGCCCAGGGCUUAACCUUGGAAGUGCAGCUGAAACUACUUGACUAGAGUCUCGGAGAGGGUGGUGGAAUUCCCAGUGUAGAGGUGAAAUUCGUAGAUAUUGGGAGGAACACCGGUGGCGAAGGCGACCGCCUGGACGAUGACUGACGCUGAGGCGCGAGAGCGUGGGGAGCAAACAGG
rnacentral:rRNA from 1 species